AGGUGUUGGGUGUGAACUCUGGGAAGGUGCAGGGUGUGAAGCCCGGGAGGGUGUAGGGCAUGAAUCCCGAGAGGGUGUAGAGUGUGAAGCCUAGAAGCAUGCAGUGUGUGAAUCCUGAGGAGGUGGUGGGUGUGAACUCUGGGAAGGUGCAGGGUGUGAAUCCUGGGAGGGUGUAGAGUGUGAAUCCUGUGAGGUUGCAGGGAGUGAAACCUGGGAGUGUGUAGGGCGUGAAUCCUGGGAGGGUGUAGAAUGUGAAGCCUGUGAGGGUGCCGGGUGUGAAAUUUGGGAGGAUGCAGGGUGUGUAGCCUGAGGAGGUGGUGGGUGUGAACUCUGGGAAGGUGCAGGGUGUGAAGCCUGGGAGGUGUAGAGUGUGACUCCUGUGAGGGUGCAGGGUGUGAAACCUGGGAGGGUGUAGGGCAUGAAUCCUGGGAGUAGAGUGUGAAGCCUUGGAGGGUACAGGGUGUGAACUCUGGGAGAGUGCGGGGUGUGAAGCUCAGAAGGAUGCAGGGUGUGAAGCCUGGGAGGUGCAGGGUGUGAAGCCUGGGAGGUGCAGGGUGUGAAGCCUGGGGAGGUGUUGGGUGUGAAUCUCAGAAGGAUGCAGGGUGUGAAGCCUGGGAGGUGCAGGGUGUGAAGCCUGGGGAGGUGUUGGGAGUGAACUCAGGGAAGGUGCAGGGUGUGAAGCUUGGGAGGGUUCAGAGUGUGAAGCCUGGGAGGAUGCAGGGCAUGAAGACUGAGGGUAUAGAUUGUGAAGCCUGGGAGGGUGCAGGGUGUGAAGCCUGGGAGGGUGUAGAGUGUGAAUCCUGGGAGGAUGCACAGUGUGAAGCUUGGGAGGGUGCAGGGUGUGAAGCCUGGGAGGGUGCAAGGUGUGAAGCCUGCAAUGGUGCAGGGUGUGAAGGUAGGGGAGGGCGUUGGGUGUGAAGCCUGGGAGGGUGCAGUGUGUGAAGGUAGGGGAGGGUUCAGGGUAUGAAGGCUGGGAGGAUGCAGGGUGUGAACUCUGGGAGGAUGCAGGGUGUGAAGCCUGGGGAAGUGCUGGGAGUGAAGGCUGGGAGAGUGCAGGGUGUGAAGUCUUGGAGGGUGCAGGGUGUGACACCUGAGAAGGUGCAGUGUGUGAAAGUAUGGAAGGAUGAGCCAGUGUGGGAAGGGAGUCAGGGGUGGUGAGCAAGGAAGAGGAGCCUGUGCAAGCAGGAGGCAGGGAUCCUGAAGCUCCUGAUGACCAGGGAAUGAGCACCAGGGUGGGCGUGGCAGGAACAGAGGCUCAAGUGGAGGGAAAGCAGUCCACUCCAGGGUUCUGUGAUCCAAGGAAGGAAGCUUAUGGUUCACCCUGUGCACGAUGUGAACGAAGCUGGUGCUUUGUCAACAAGAGAUCUGGAGAGACUAUGGUGUCAGCAGCCCACCCUGGCUGCUGUGUGCAGAGUGGACCUAAGCAGGUGGGACUGGAUGUGGGAAGACCAUGUGGCUCUCGAGGCAGUCUGCCUGGGUGUGAUGGGCUUCUAAACCAGGCCAUUGGUGGUGAGCUUAGGAAGACAAAGGAGGCAAGACAUCCAUGGGGGUUAAAAUCAGCUGGAUGUGGGACUUAAGGAACGUGUGAGGGAUGGAGGGGACAAGAGGAUGUGAAGGGACGACACAGAGCUUGUGCUGGCUCCAGGCUUGGGCUCAGACAACUGGAAGGUAAUGAGAGAAGCCAAUUUGGAGGAAGGUAAUGAGUUUGGUUUUGGAUGUAAAUUUAAAGUCCUGCAGGACAUCCAACUGACUCACAAGGAAUGAACAGUCUGCUUUAAAUGUUAGGGCAGAGUUUGGGGCUGAUCUCUAGGUCUGGAAGCCAUAAGCCAGAAGGAAAGUUUAAACUACAAGCACUUGUAGGACCAGUGCUCUUAGGGUGAGAAAUGCAGCAUUCCAGGAUAAAGUAAGGAGGCCGUGGAAAAGAAGAACCCAUGACCAGGACUAAGACAUGGAGGCCAGAGGGGUGAGGUGGGCAGGGAGGAGUUGCACCACGGAGCCCACAGAGCACAGAGCUUGUGGCAGAGAGGGCUUGAUAUGGUCUGGCUGUGCCCCCCACCCAAAUUUCAUCUUGAAUUGUAGCUCCUAUAAUUCCCACGUGUCAUUGGAGGGACCUGGUGCGAGGUCUUCGAAUAGUGGAGAUGGGCUUUUAUUGUGCUGUUCUCAUGAUAGUGAAUACUUCUCAUGAGAUUUGAUGGUUUUAUAAAAAGCAGUUCUCCUGCACAUGCCCUCUCUUGCCUGACACCAUGUAAGAUGUGCCUUUGCUCCUCCUUCACCUGCACAUGCUCUGUCUUGCCUGCCGCCAUGUAAGAUGUGCCUUUGCUCCUCCUUCACCUACCACCAUGAUUGUGAGGCUGCCCCAGCCAUUUGGAACUGUGAGUUCAUUCGACCUCUUUUUCUUUAUAAACUAUUAUUAAUUAUUAUUAUAAUUAAUCUUUAUUAGCAGUGUGAGAACAGACUAAUACAGGCCUAUAUAGCCUUCAGUGAUUCUGGUGUCUAGGGGUCAUGACGGUCCCGUCAGACCAUGGCAGGGGUGCUGAGUCUCCGACAACCAUUUCUUCUCCCUGUUUGUCCUCUGUCUCAUGACGCCAAAUAUAGACCUUUGUGGUUUCCAUAGGCUUUUGUCAUUGAGCCUUCUCAGCGCUCGGUCUCCAGAUCCACUGCUGAUGCUGUGUUUCCCAGGGUUUUUCUGGAUGAUCAUUGGCUACCAGGGCCUAAGACAAGAAGGGCAGGAGGAUCAGCAUGUCAUGGCCUCAGGGUCCCUGUGUUGUAUCAGGUGCUGUGUUGAGCAUGGGGCACCUGCAAGGUCAGGUGAGAUUCCCCCUUUUCAGGAAUCAUCAUGCAACAGCAGAGGUGGUUCACUCAGGGGCCUGCUCAGCCCCAAAGUCCACAGUCUCCAUGUGGCCUCUGCUGCCUCCUCCCACACUGGAGAGUAGCAGUGGGCCUGAGUGGCACUGUUUUCACACAUUGCUCUCAGCACUUUACAUCCUCAUUCAAUAUUAGAUGACCAGAUGCCUGAGUCCAUGAACCAAGGAGUAAAUGAUUUUGGAGCUGGAAGACAUGGCUUUCUUACCAGCAACAUUUCUGAACUCUUGCAGGGACUUGAUUCACAUAAUGGUAGCUCCUGCUUGCAGAGCCCUUUGCAAUCUUCCAAGCACUGUCACAGAGGGGGCUGCAAUUCACAAUGUUUCUGUGUGGUGGAUGACAAAGAAGAAGAUGGAGCUUCAGUGAGGCUGUGUGACUUUCUCCAGGUCACCUUGUCAGCAGGCGCCCCACCAGGACUUGAACUCAGAUCUCUGACCCCAGGUCUCCUGGUCCAUUCCCUGCACUUUACUUUGUAGCUGAAGGCAAGCCGGGGGUGAGGCCUCAGGAGCAGCAGGCUCUGGGCUGUCCUGGCCUGGUUGGCGGUGCUCACAGGCAGCUUCCCAUCUCCAAGAUGCUUUUCUGGGUUUCUCUGUUUACAGUUAGCUCUUUUGUGAGCAUUUGGCCAGAUGGCAUCCAGGCAAACUCGAAUAUCCACCAGAACAUCACUCCUUCAGAUUAAUUAGUUUCCAUUUAUAUGCCUCACCUCACUCAGCUUUAAAUGCACACUUGGAGCUUAUAAUUCUGGUCUUCAAAGCCUGCCCAUCUCCCUGUCUUUCUUAUGCCUUUUUUCCCCUGCAAUGCUUCCUGGAGCAAAACCUGGAUACCCCAAUGGGGGCAUGCUUGGAUAUUCUCAGAGCCCAGUUUUUCUAUGUUCUUUCUCAGAAAAAGCUACCAUGAAACAAAGUGACAUUCAUGUCUCCUGGGCAUCUUUCAGACCAGAGUUCACUUUGAUAUCACCUAGGCCUAUUUUAAGAGGGAUAAAAAGCUUUUUGUAGUUUAAGAGAACAAUGAUUAUUAAGGAAAAAGAAGAGGGUUUAGCAAACAUUGCAGACUAAGCACAGUGCCUGGAUCCUGACCCAUGAGCCUAGGAGGUAAGUAAGGAGUUUGUUUGAUCAUUUAUUUAUUUUAUUCUGAUGCGUUUAUAGGUUUCCUGCCAUGUGAUAGACACAGGCAUGUGUUUUCAGAUCAUGAAGGCUGUGUCUUGUUCUCAGGAAUCUCAUACUUCUGUAGCAGUGUGACACAGAGGGGAAGAGCUAACUCUGUUCCCAAGUCCUGUAGGUACAAGGUAGGAAGUAAGCUCAAGGUGCUUUGGGAGGACAAAUGAAUAGGUCUGGGGGGAGACCAGGGAAUGUCUCUGACGUUCUAGCAUAACCUGGAAAGUGGACAAGAUUACAGGUAAUAGAAGGAGGGCAGGGAAAUUCUGGCAGAGAAAAAGUGAAAAGGUUAAAAGACAUAAAACAUGUUGUGUUUGAAGGACCUCAUCCAUUCAGUAUUGUUGGACAAUAACAUAUAAGGGCCCAGGAUCAAUGAAAGACUUGGGACUCAGUAAGGUGUCUCUGAAGAGAAAGGGAGGGCCAGAUUAUGACAUUCAUUCCUCAUGACUUCCAUGCAUCGACUGGUCCAUGCAUCAUGACUUCACGCAUUAUGGCCUCCAUACAUCAUGACUUUCAUGCAUCAUAUCUUCUAUGAGUUAUGUCUGACGCACGCAUCAUGGCUUCCAUGCAUCAUAAUUUCCAUGCAUUGUGGCUGGCCCAUGCAUCAUGACCGCUUUGCAUUUAUGGCCUCCAUGCAUGAUGACUUCUGUGCAUCAUGACUGGCCCAUGCAUUAUGGCUUCCAUGCAUCACGACUUUUAUGCAUUAUGGCUUCCAUGCCUCUUGACUUCCAUGCAUGAUGGCUUCCAUGCAUCAUAGCUUUCAUGCAUGAUGGCUUCCAUGCAUCAUGUCUUCCAUGCAUUAUUGCUUCCACUCAUCAUGUCUUCCAUGCAUUAUGGCUUCCAUGCCUCUUGACUUCCAUGCAUGAUGGCUUCCAUGCGUCAUGUCUUCCAUGCAUUAUUGCUUCCACUCAUCAUGUCUUCCAUGCAUUAUGGCCUCCAUGCCUCAUGACUUCUAUGCAUUAUGGCUACUGUGCCUCAUGUUUUUCAUGCAGUAUGGUUUCCAUGUGUUGUGACUGUUUGAUGCAUCAUGAUGACCAUGCAGCAUGGGUUCCGUGCAUCAUGAGUGGUCUGUGUGUCAUAAUAUUCAGGUAUUAUGGCUUCCAUGCAGUAUAACUUCCAUGCAAUCAUGACUGGUCCAUGCAUCUUGACUUCAUACACAGGUAAUUUUGCUUGCAUGAAAAAAUAAGCCAAUGAAAAAGUAACUUUAAAAAUCACAAGUGGUCAUUCUUUGCCUGCAUCCCCCUCCACCACUUCCCCUACACAUUUGUAACUAAAGAAAGCUUGUUGAAUCAACCUAAUUGAGGAUGACCACUUCUUCAUUACUCAGAAAUGCAGGCAUGGUUUGUUCUGUGGCCUCCGGAGCCAGAUUUUAAAUUCUAUUUUAUCAUUUGCCUGUCUUCACUCCAAAUCCCAAGCUCUUUCUAUUCCAUACACUGUCUGGGGAUCAGCUCUCUGGGUACCUCUUACUCUAUGUCCAGGCUUGCUGCAAGGGUUGGACCUGCAUUAGUCAUCACCUCUAAGAUACUUGUGAAUAUGCCACAAGUCCCAUUUGAGAAUAUAAUAUAUGAUGACAUUGCCUGAGCCGAACAGCCCACGUGUGUGAGAAAGCUCUCUUCUCAGACAUUAGCUGUGAUGAUGGAGUGCCAAUGCCGUCAGCAUUUUGGUCAUCAUUGCUCUAUGGUCAUUCAGCACCAAGGCCAGGUGCUCCACUUGCUGCUGCCAGGGUCAAGAUUGUGCCUGAGUUCAAGCUCUGGCUGAGUCACUUUCUGGCUGUUUGCCCCUGGGAAGGAUUCUUUCUUAGGCCCUUCAGCUGUAAAAUAAGGAUGGCUGUGAGGUUUCAAUGAGAAUACAUAUUAAAAGCUUAGUGGUAAAUCUCACUUAGGGUAAAGCCAGUUAAAGUUUAUUGUUGUUAACAUAAAUAGAAUGUGGUCUCUGUCCUCAAGGAGCUACAGCCAAGAGUGAAAACUUGCAAUUAAAAAGAUAAAUGGCAUAUUUGACGAGCGUUGGCCUAAAUAUAUAACACAAGGAAGAGCAGAGGGGCAUAGAGGCUGGGAUGAGCUCUGCCUGAAUGGCCAGGGAAGGAGUCCCAGGGGACCAAGGCAAAGGAGCUGAGAACCAAGGCUGGACAGGGGCCAGAGCCCGAGCACAGGGGACUUCUGGGCAAGGUUGCCCACCCCAGCCCCAUCCACCCUAUCAUGUCUUGGAGGAAUGCCAAAGUGUUGGGGGAAAACAACUUGAGUUGUUCUUUCCAGAAUUGUCACCAAAUUUUGGUGCUGUCAUGUACCCCAAGGUCUUAAAAGGCUUAGAUGCAGCUUUAAUUUUGGCUAUAUUAGUCCAAUAUGAAGCAGUAAGGGUUAUAGUAAAAAAGAGAAACUGAUCCUCUCCAUUUGAGAUGUCUUUUUCGUUCUUGUUUUUAAGACAUCAAAGAACAAUAAAAGGGAAACAAAAGCAAGCUUUGAGAAGGAUGGAUGAUUUCAGCAAUGCGUUCCCCUCGUCCUGCCAGGCUGGGAUGCACUGGGACAAGGCAGGCAGGCUCAGGGCACAUUCUCCAAUGGUUUUCCAUGCCAUUUCCCCCUGCACACGUAUGCAAUACGCGUGGUUUGGAUUUUAUCAUGGGAAAUCUCAGCAUAUGGUGACUUGAGCCUUUCUGGAAGGUUUCAGUGGUUUGGCCAUGCAUGGGGAGUGGAAUGGAAGCCUCCAUUUCCCCAGACAGCCUAUGGUAGCUGAGACCUGCUCAGUCAAGUGACAAAGCAUUCCACUUGUAUUCUCCCCGGGUGAGAGCGGUAAAAUCUGCCCCACAGUUAAUUAUAAAGAGUGUUUUUCUGACAGCCAUGUUUCAGGUAAUGGGGACUCACUAAACUGUUGUAAGCAGAGGAAUGUGGGUAAGUCCAGUAGGGCAGUGGCGUGGUGUGGCGCUCCGUUAGCAGGAGGAUGAGGAGGGCCUUUCCUGGGUGGCGCUGGGGAGGUGCUAAUGGCUGGGUGGGUGAGGCGUGGCUCUGAAGCAGACGUGGAGGCCCAUUUUCCAGCAGUGAUGCUCUGAUGCAAGUCAUGUGUCCAGUGAUUCAGUGAAUUCUGAGGCUAUAACCACUUGGAGUUAAUGCUGAACCCACGGGCUUAGGGGCUCAGACACACAAGAAUGCUCUCACUCCAGAUGCCAGCUCCAAGUCCUGGGGACCACCUGCACUUCUGAUCAAGCAGCUGUAUAUUUGAGGAUUCCUACGACCCUCCUCAAGUUUGAUAAUUUUCGAGAGCAAGUCACAGAACUCAGGAAAGCUUUAUGCUUACGAUUACUGGUUUAUUCAAAAGGACAGGAAUGAACGGCCAGAUGAGAAGCGCAUGAGGCAAGGUCUGGGGAGGGGGCAGGAGCUCCGUGCCCUCACUGGGUGCUCCACCUCUGAUAUGGUCUGGCUGUGUCCCCACCCAAAUCUCAUCUUGAAUUGUAGCUCCCAUAAUUCCCACGUGUUGUGGGAGGGACCCAGCUGGAGAUAGUUGAGUCACGGGGGCGGUUUUCCCCAUACUGUUCUCACGGUAGUGAAUAAGUCUCGCGAGACCUGAUGGUUUUAUAAGGGGAAAUCCCUUUCACUUGGCUCUCAUCCUCGGUUGCUGCCACCAUGUAGACGUGCCUUUUGCCUUCUGUUAUGAUUAUGAGGCCUCCCCAGCCACGUGGAACUGUGAGUCCGUUAAACCUCGUUUUCUUUAUAAAUUACCCAGUCUCAGGUAUGUCUUUAUCAGCAGUGUGAAAACAGACUAAUUCGAUGCCCCUGCGUCUGCCUGCGUUCAACAACCCAGAAGCCCCUCAAGCCUCCUUGUUUCGGUAUUUUUAGAUGGAGUUUCAUUGCUGAGACACGGUGGAUUCAAUCAUUGGCCGUUGGUGAUGGAGCUCAACCCGUAGUGUUUCUUCCCUUCAGGGAGGAUGGGGCUGGGGUGAAAGUUCUAACCCUCUCAUCGGGCACAUGCUUGUUUGUCUGGUGAUCAGCCCCCUUCCUGAAGCCCUCCAAGCCCCCUCACAGUGCGUCACCACAUUAGCCUAAACUCAUGUAUGUCAGAGGGGGUUCUCUGUGAAUAACCAAAGUCACUCCUACCAUUCAGAAAAUUCAAAGCGCUUAGGAGCCCCAUGCUAGGAACCAGGGACAAAGACCAAAUAUAUUUCUAUUGUGUCACAGGAGGGCCAGGAUAAAGGAAACAGAGAUUGUCGACUAGAUUUCUGACUCAGAGCCCUGGUCUAAGUUUGGCUGGAGGCAGCAAAUAAAGUUUAGAGAAUACCUGAGCCAGUGAUUGGGGGAUUAAAACAACCAUUUGGAGCUUAAAAAAAAAAAAAGCAAAACGCCCAUUCUUCCCAAUUAAAGAAGUAGUAGCCCCAGAGCUUAGAGUAGACCAACAGCUCAGGGUGUUUUUAUUUUUGAUGUGGGGACAACCAUAAGCCAAUUACCCUGGAAUUAGCAUAAAAAUAGGCAUGGAGGGGAGGCCUCCUGGACCAUCUCGUGGAAGCAGAGACUAAUGAUGGCAGGUGCAGUACCUGGACUCUCCCAUCGCUGCAGCCUUUGCUGGGAGUCAUCUGGCUCUGGUGAGAUGGCAUAGGGUGGGGACACUUGCCGUGGAGAAGGGAUACUUGCCAGGGGCAGGGACGCUUGUUGUGGGCAGGGCUAUGGCAGAGGCAGGGCUGGCACCGUCCAGAAGACGCCUGCCUGGUCCUCGCUGUGCCUGCAACUCCUUUGUUUCUUUCUGUGACUCGGGAUGCUGCUCUCUUGGUUCCCAGUUGUCCCUUCUGCCCACAGAAGUCUUGUUUCCAGUUUAGCAGUCAGCCUACCAGGAGCCGUGCCUUCUGGAGGUAACUGGCUUCUUACAUCUUCCCAGCCCUGCGUUCACCCAGGGACUCUGUCAGGUCUGAGGCUCCACUGUCCUCCUUUUCCUGCCUGCAACCAGCCUCACACAGGUUUCCAUGGGAAUGAGGUGGGAGAAGAGACUGGCAUUCCCGAGAACCCGUGACAUGCUGCCUGGUCUUUGGGUAGAUAUUUUCUCUUUACUGCAGAGGGAGGCUUCUUUGCGCUUUCUCUAUUGUCAUCUUGACAUUUGAAGCAAGUCUGGCAUAAGUAGGAUGGGUGUCUUUAAAUCCAAUUUACAGAUAGGGAAAGUGAGAUUCAAAGAGAUUCAGUUGCCACCAAGGUCUUUCAACUAAUCAAAUGAUGGAGCCAGGACUCAACAUGGAGAGCUGACUGCACGUUUCAUCAGGACUCAACAUGGAUAGCUGACUGCACGUUUCAUGCUUUUCCGUGAUUCCACAGUUGAAACCAUCCUGUGAAGAGCUGCAUGCUACCUGCAUUUUGUCAUGCUCCGUGCAGGUUCAGCUGAUGCUGUUGGGUAAAUCCAUGUCCGCUGGAGAUAGAGCGAGUGCCCCGUCAUCUGGAAAUAAGGGGCAGCUUCACUGCCCUGCAUGGUAGGCUGUGCUCUGCUUGUAGGAGAAAGAGAUACAUCAGGUGAGCAUGAAUUAAUAUUGAGGCCCAAAUUAAUUUUGUCCCAGUGGCAACCUUGGGAGCUGAAUGAAUCCCACUGUCUGCUUCACCCAAGGCCUGGGACCUUUGGAACAGGGGCUCCACCCCACGUCAGGUGCCUUUGUCAACAGAUGUCCUGGCUGUGCUGGCUUGGAACAAUCACCAUGCCUUUGAAAAUGAUCUGUAAGAUAACAAAGUCAAAAGGAUAAUUCUGUCAUAUCUUUGGUUACCUAUAAGAUUUACCUGUUAUGGAUGCAUUCAGAUGCUAAGGUGAGGGCAAAUUAUCUUGAAAAGUGUGGCCAGGUGCAGUGGCUCAUACCUAGAAUCUCAGCAUUUUAGGAGGCCGAGACCAGUGGAUCACUUGAGGUCAGGAGUUCAAGACCAGCCUGUGCAACAUGGUGAAACCCUGCCUUUACUAAACAUACAAAAUUAGCUGGGUGUGGUGGCGCAUGCCUGUAGUCUCAGGCUGAGGCAGGAGAAUCUCCAGCCUGGGUAACAGAAGAGACUCUGUCUCAAAAAAAAAAAAAAAAAAAAAAAAGUGUCUCCUUUCUUCUAAAAUCUAAAAAUAAGUCAGAGCAUGGGGUCCUGUAGUCCUAAAUCCAAUCCUUGACUUCUUAUUUAAAAAUAAGGACAUUUCUGAUACAUUUUACCUGUAUCUGUUUGUUAUGGAGAUGGUGCUGAACACUGGUGGAGUGAGUGGGACUCAUUAAAGCCCUGUCUUCAAGGUAGUUAAAAUCUGGGAGAGAUAAAGGAUUGUUUUGAAUAACAAUAGUAACUGGCAGACUGUGAGAUGCACUAUACUGAUGCUCUAAUACAUUGCUGUGCAAGUCCAUGGAGAAAGUGCUCAGACGCCAGGAGCACAAAGAAGCCUUGGCCUAGCAGAGCAUCGGAGGGCGCAUGGGUGCUGUGCAGUGAGGAUCGGGGCGGGGAGUGGGUGCUGGUGAGGAGGGCCCAUGAGCCAGAGGCCCAGUGCAGAGCUGCGUGGAGCAGGGGAUGCCUCUGUGCCUGGCUGAAGUCAAAUUCCAAAGGACAAGGUUGAAUCUGCAAAAUCUGUACCUGACCUGGGCAGAGGAGGGAAGACCUGCCGGGCAGCCUGUGCCCAGAGCCACUGCCCUUUCUAGAGCAGCGGCCACAGGGUGGUGUCCUCUGGAAUGACCGGGUCUGGCUGGGUCACAUGUGGCCGGCGGGGGGAGGUGCAGCUGGCCUUGUAGGCACAUCACGAGACGCCCACAGGCAGGCAAGAGUGCCUAUCUGGGCUUGUCACCAGACAGUUUGUGGAGCUGCCAGGGAUGGGAGGAGGGCUUGGGUUACCCUGGGUCAGAUCACAAGGCUUUCCAUAUUUAGCUGGGAGCAUGGGUUUUAUUCUGUUGGCUGUGGGAUCACUGCUGAGAGGUUCUGGGCAAUGAAGCACACAGAAAAUAAUGACAUUCUGCAGCCUUCCAGCCUUCCUAGAGUGCUGGUUCCACGGCUUCUCCCAGGCCUGGGUCUGUGUCUCCUGUGCCUUCCGAUCAGGUCCCAGGUCUCAGCCGGCCCAGGGUCCGGUGCUCAGCGGGGAUGCUUGGCGGAGACAGAAGCUGGCCUUUGUUGGGGCAGCCAGCACUCAUCUCCCUUCCGGGCCGGAUCUGAGUUCCGCCCGGUUUGAGCCCUGAUUAAUGAGGGCCGUUAAUUAGAGCGCUGUAUUCCCAGUGUCAUGGACGUGGCUGGGAGCCAAGACCGGAAGGCGUGGAUUCAUUGUCAGAGUGGAUCUGAGAAACUGGGGUGCCCUGAGGGGCGGAGGCAGAAGCCAGGCUGAAAGGAUGCCGUCACCUUCAUCGCCACCCUGACCGCUCGCCAUCGGCCUGCAGGCUCGCGCUUGGUGUUCCCUCCAGCUCUGCAUGGCCCCUGACUACAGCCAUUUUUCCAGCUUCUUUCCCAUGGUGGUGGGGGCAGUGAGUCGAGGGAGCUCAGAGCCCUCAAGAGGAGGAGUCAUAUGCCCUGCAGAGGUGGCACUGAGGGAGGAGAAGACAGAGGCGUGAGCAGGUGACGCCUGCAUCCAGGACCAUCUUGUAGUGGAGGUGUCCAUCCAGCAUGGGGGUGAAGGACGCUGGGAGGAGAGGGAUGGAGGAAAGAAUGGCUUCUAGGGGAGGGAGGCAGACCCCAAGCAGCCAAAAGAAGAGACGCACAGCCUGGGUUGCAGAGAGCCUGGACGAACCCACCGGGCAGGGCUGGAAGGACAGGCACAGGUGAGGAGGGGCGGAGGGCACAGAGUGAGCCAGGCAGAGCCUGUUGGAGGCCGGAGAGGGCCACAUCCUGGCAAGUGGGGCCUCAGCUCAUGGACAGCCUGGCAUGGGUGGUGGGACUGGCGUGGGACUUGCAGGGGUGAGUCUGGAUGCUGGAGCUCCCGGGAGACCCGGCCAGGCGGGUCACGAGGCCAAGGAAUCCAGUACUCCCACAGCCCAGGGACAGUGUCCUGCGCUCCUCAUUUCCCCUUUAGUCCUCACCUGAUUCCUGCUAGAGCAGUGCUCGCCCCCAUGGGGAAACUGAGGCUCAGAGCAAGAGUGGACUUGCAUCAGGUCCUGUAUGCAGCUAAGCCAUCAACCAGGGAACUGUCCUCUGCCUGAGGGUCCAGGAAGAAGCACGGUGCCUCAGCAGCAGCAGAGCCGGACCCCAGGGUUCCAACGAGAAACCUCAUCUGGUGAGACCGUGCAGUCUAGGGGUCUGUCUUGGGGAGCAGGGGCUGGUGUCGAGUGGGAGCCUGGCCCGGGGGAGGCCUGGGCCCUGCAGGAGAUGGAAUGACAUUCCCGGAGGAGGGCCUAGGAGGAGCCCAGGAGAGGAGCUGGGCUUGGUCAGCACUUGGACAUCGGAGCUUAGGAACCCCCGCGGGGUCUGUGGCCUCCCUGAGGGUGUGGGGCAUCCCGUGGGUAUCCCAAGGGGCACCGAUCACAAGUUGCUCUUUAUUAGCACAGGUCACACAGACAUGGCAACAGGACCUGGGCACUCACAGGUUUCUGCUGGUCCUGGUGUCCAGGCUGCAUGGGGAUCCCUUGUCCUUAAUCACAAUGGAGGGAAACGGGGUCGGGGGGAGGAGUUGUGAGGGAAACCAGGUCCCUCCCUGCAGGGAGCUCAGAACGCAGCAUGGAGCUGUGAAGCUGAAACACUGGGGAGCCGCAUGCAGUGAGGCCGCAAUUCAGCAGCAGUGCAUUGGGUCCACCCAGGGGGUAAGCAGGGGUGUGGGGGGGCACCCAUCUGGGAUGUGCAGGGCCUGCUGGGACCCAUUCUCUUCUCAGGCUGCCUCCACCGUGGUGGCUGCAGGUGGGAUCCAUACGUCCUGUGCUGCCCUGGCCUGUUCUUACUGGUAAAGGAGUGGUUUGGAGGAAAAACAAAAACCUUAAUUCAACAGAGGGCUUGCUAUGGGUGGAUUUUUGCUCCCAGAUGGGAAGUAUUUUAAGUCAAUGAGCACUUCCUGUCCUGCUAACAUGUCAGCGAGGAAACACUGCCUCCUCUGCACCACCCUGGCUUUCUUAGAAAAAAGACCAUUUGGAGGAAGGAAUUCAAGAAGUUCAUUGAAACCAUCACUGAUACAUCUCCAGCACUGAUACAUCUCCAGGGCUGCCGUGUGGUGGGUGAGGAAGGACAGUGUAAGAUAGGCUGGACACAGUGAAAAUGGCAGCUCAAGAACAACGGAUCACAUCAUUUUCUUCCUAGAAGAAUCUGGGUUUGGGUUGCAGCUCCACUCAGCAGGAGGCCCGGGAGGAGCUGGGAGCAUCCAGUCGCGAGGGGAAGGGGCGGUGUGCACUCAGGAGUCUCCUCACAGGAGCAUCAGACACUCUCAUGCCUUAAGAUGAUUGCGGCCGCUUCCUAACGGUGCUGUGAGAGCACCUCCGCCAUGCCUGAAGUUUGAGCAACACUGAACCCUAGAAGCUACUGAGUCCUCAAAGGGCAGGGCCUGGUGGCAGCGGGCCAGCCAUGUAGUGACACCAUCCGGAGGUUGCCGGGAGGUGUGCAGAGUGCCCCACUCCAUGCUGGGUGGCUGGGCAGUGGGUCCCACCCUUCACUGCGCAGGGCAGUCAGCCAUGACUGCUGAUUCCACCAGGCCUGGAGGGGCGGUCUUUGAGCAUGGAACCCUUGUUAUCCAAUGGCACCAGCGACUCAUCGUGACAUCAGGGACCCCAACCGAGAAAGGCUUUAGAGGCUGCCCUUGCAAUGGCUCCCCCGCAUCUCCUCCUCUGUGCUCCCUUUUCCUGCUCAUAUGCCAGGAAUUGACUGAGGGACUCCGUGGCGCUUCGGGGCCAGCUCACAACACCCAUGGGGCAGCUGCAGACUGGGGAGACCUCCCUCACGGGAUCUGAUCUUCUCGCAGUUCCUGGGACUCAUGGGUGUGGGGAAGGAGGGGACAGGGGCUGCCCUCCAGUUCUGACCUGAGAACCUGGUGAGGUGGGGUGUCCCUUACUGGGAUGGCAAGACUGGAGAGAUGUGGAGAAAUUUGAUCCAGAUGCCUUAGGUGUGAGGGGUCUCAGGAAUUCAAGGCGGGCUGUGCAGACGUCCAUUAGACUUGGGGAGCUGGAGCUGUGCCCACCGAGGUUCCCUCCAGGGAAGGUCAUGCCCGGUGCCCAUGGCAGCUGCUGCCCAGGCCUGGCCACCUGCGGGGUCUUUGGCACAGCUCCCAGGACCCCAUGGGAGCAAGCUCAUUGUUCCGCCCUCCCCACCCGCUGUGGCUCCUUUCUGUGACAGACGCUUGUUCUCCAGGGAAGCCUUUGGGACCCUCCCAGGCAGCCCCUCUAUAGGCCCCUCCUGUAUCUGUGGGGAGAAGAGGGCCGCAGUGUCCCCUAGGAGAGGAGCGGAGGCAGCCUGGGAACCAGGCCACCAUGGAACCACCCCUAGCUGGCCAUCAGGGAGAGGACUGCCUGGCUCAGCCUGCACCGUGGGGGGCAGCUAGGGCUGCCUGGCAGCCUUGCAGGGUCCGAAGUGCCUCUUGGGAUGGGACGUGGUAUCGCGUUAGCAGGUUUGACCUGGGUUCCCUGUGUGUGGAGGGGCACAGGCUUGUUGGAAGCAGCAAGGUGCUUGUGGGAAGGACUGUGUCACCUCCAAUUCAGGCCUCUGCUAGGGACAUUCCAGCCUCUCUCUCCCUGUGUCCUACGUGCCUGAGUGCCACAGAGUCACCCUGGGAGUAGGCUCUGUCCUCUACGUUUCUCUUUGGCCACAGGAAUGUCGGGGAGGAUGUCUCCGUGUGGUUAUCACCAGCGGCCCCUGACGGCUGGUUAGAAGGGACACUUUUCUGGUGCUCGUAGGCAUGCGGUUCCUAACAGCGGGGAAGCCUUCUGCAAAAUGCACCUCAUUGUGCAGACAUCACGGAGUGCACUUACCCACCCCCUGAUGGGACAGCCCACGGCACGCCUGGGCCACGUGGUGCAGCCUAUGGCUCCUAGGCCACAAAUCUGAACAACAUGGUGCCACACCGAAUAAUGCAGGCAACUGUAAUGCAGUGGCCACUGUUCAUGUGUCGAAACAUAGAAACGUUACAGCAAAAAUAUGGUGCUAUCGUCGUAUGGGACCACCAUCAUAUACGCAGCUCAUUAUUGACCGAGAGAUUGUGGUGCAUGACUGAAUUUCCAAAAGUGUUCUCAAGGUCAGAAUAGGAAGAAUUCUCCCUCCCUCCUUCCCUCCUUCCAGAUUCCCUCUGCAAUUUUUUUCCUCUGCGUGACCUCACUGGCUUUAUUUAUUUUGAGAAAAAUGAAUUCCAAAGGUCA